UACGUAGGGUGCAAGCGUUGUCCGGAUUUAUUGGGCGUAGAGAGCUCGUAGGCGGUUUGUUGCGUCGGCUGUGAAAACCCAUGGCUUAACUGUGGGCUUGCAGCCGAUACGGGCAGACUAGAGUUCGGUAGGGGAGACUGGAAUUCCUGGUGUAGCGGUGAAAUGCGCAGAUAUCAGGAGGAACACCGGUGGCGAAGGCGGGUCUCUGGGCCGAUACUGACGCUGAGGAGCGAAAGCGUGGGGAGCGAACAGG
rnacentral:rRNA from 1 species